CAAGUUCCCUGAUUUAUUUCACAAAGCUGGUGCUUACGUGUUUUCAUUCUCUCUUAUCCAAUCAAGCUGUAAAAAUUGUGAGGAAAGAGUGAUUGUGAAGCCUUCCACUCUUAAGCGUGUUGAACUCCGGUCACCAAUAGUGAAAAACCAGCUGCUUCCUGGUUAUGUGUUUAAGGAGUUCGUAUUGGAGAUGUUUGAUGCAUAUGGAAACCACGUGUCUAAAGGUUCAGAG